AUGCACGUAGCUCAGUUGGCAGAGCAUUGGGCUAGUAUUCCAAAGGUCGUAGGUUCGAUUCCCACCGUGGACA